GGUUCUUCGGUGUCUGCAGUCGACGAACGACUGGUGUAGGCGUUUGCUGUGAGAAUGGAGAAUGCAGGGGAACGCCCCUGACUGAGAAGCGGGCCCUGGGAAACGAUUGUGAACGCGUGAAUGAAUUGCUGACUAAAAUCCGCUGCGGGGGUCCUACAGCGCAGAUGUUUACGUUGUUAAAGGGAAGCUGGACGAGAUAAUAAAGAUCUUCAGUUUAGAUCUUGGAGGCAUAUCAACUGUGGUUCUAAAUGGCUAUGAUGUAGUAAAGGAAUGCCUUGUUCAUCAAAGUGAAAUUUUUGCAGACAGACCAUGCCUUCCUUUAUUCAUGAAGAUGACAAAAAUGGGAGGCUUACUCAAUUCCAGAUAUGGCCGAGGAUGGGUCGAUCACAGACGAUUAGCUGUAAACAGUUUUCGAUAUUUUGGAUAUGGCCAAAAGUCUUUUGAAUCUAAAAUCUUGGAAGAAACCAAAUUUUUCAAUGAUG
rnacentral:sRNA from 1 species